UGGGGGAGAGAGGGGGUGUUAAGAGGGAGGGAGAUGGCUGAGAGGGGGUGUUGCGAUGGAGAGAUGGGGGAGAGAGAGUGUGUUAAGAAGGAUAAAGAUGGGUGGGAGAGGUAAAUGCUUGGUACACACUAAAUGAUAAUUUGCCUGAUUGCGUGGCCAAUUUUCUCCUUCCAACGCUAGCGAGCAAAGGCCCGAUUUUUUGAUGGUUCUUACGAUUUGGUUGCCAGAUUACCCUUUUGUGUGGGGUAUUUUAAUUCUCUUUUAAAGGACUUGGCCGGUUCGCCUGAUACCGCAGGUGAAUUGAUGACAUUGUCUGUGUCGAGUUGUAAACCAUACCUGUUUUUUCUCCGUUAUGGCGCGUAGUGUGAUUGGUCAGUUGGCCAGUGUUUGACAUCCAUUACGCUCCAGAUGAGUGUUCAGCACGAUCUCGUAAAUGGAGCUCAGGGUUCUCCAGCAAAAGUGCAAAUGAACUGCCCCGGCUGGGUCGUUUAUCAUCUUUAACCCAUGAACGAAGCAAUCAACUAAUAACAUUAACUGGUUUGAAGGCAGCAAUAUGCAAUCUGUGUUCGCGCUCACGGACGUAGCGACAGAGCUAGACACUGAGCGGCGAUACUUUAGGACUCUUGAAUGUUAAAUGCUCUGAUCACGAGCACGGCGGUGAACCUUGGAUCCAACAGUGGAUUGUUUGUUGCUUCGACCCACCGGGUUCACUGGACUGGUUCAGUUCGGGGAAAAAAGGAGGAUUUGUUCUGUGUCCGUUCAUAAAACCGUGAACGGAGCACUUUAGAUUCAGAGGUGAAUGCUGAGGCCGUGAUUUAGAUUGCACUCUUCCUGCAGAUACCCUCGCGGCUUGGAGAAAUGUUGCUUGGUAUUGAUGGUGCGUUUUAGUAUUCUCUGCGAAACAUCUCGGAUCUGACGCCACGCCCACACUUCAAGCGUUUUAUUAUUUUGCUCGGCCGUUGGAGGAAAACAUGGACGCCACCCGGAAAGCUGUUGUCGCGGUAGCAUUGGAAGAGUACCAUGCGCUCCAAAAUAGGUAGGCUAUAGGCCAUAGGCAGAGAUACGGACGCAGUAAGGUAUUGCAGUAAUACGAGUGAUUUGAAAUUGACAUUUAAUCCACCAAAGCGGUCCAAGCACAAUGAAAACAGUUCACGCUUCAAGUCACACUGGGCGCAGCCAUCUUGAAUUCUGUCUCGGAAUUUUGCUCGGUCACCACUGAGUUCAACCGAGAUGGCGAGUUCGCCGUCCGAGGAAAUGGGGCGUUUUCGUGCGUGUCGCUAGGCAACGUCCUCGGACCUCCGAGACGGAUGGAUAAUAAAACGCUGCAUUAGCUUCCGAAGCUAACGAAGAUAGCGGCGUGGCCGCUAUCGUCGUUCAGAAUCAUACUGCCUACGGGGCUUUCUUGUGUCGGACCCUCAGAGUUUAAUUAGAAAUGUUUUGACCAAAGUGGACCCUUAGAGAUUUGUGAGAUUUCCGGAUUUGAGGACAGGGUUUUAGGGAACUGGGUUGUUAGGGAAUGGAGUCGGUUGUUUCCAUUCCAAUAUGGUGUGCUGUUCUGGCCGAUCAUUGCCCUCCUCUCACCUAAUGAGCAGAACCUUUAAAUGUAUGUUAAUAUGUCGUUGGGCGUGUGGUCUGUCCUGUUCUCUGUGAAAAACGGAAAGGUAGAGCGAGAGGUAGGGAGAGAGAGAGAGAGAGCAGUUUAAAAGUGUGGAGGUGGGAGAGAAAAACAAAGAGAAAGGCAGCGAGGUACAGCUAGAGAGACGGAGAUGGAGAGAGGUUGAGAAGGGAGGGGAGGGCGAGAGAGGGAGGGGGAGAGGUUGAGAGGGGGAGGGAGAGCGAGAGUAAGAGCGAGAGAGUUCUUAAUCAGAGUUCUUAACUUGGACCUGAAGGUCGCCGGGGUCGCUCGGCAGCUGCAUCUGGGGUGAGGGUUAACGUCUCUGAUGUCUGGAGUUAAACGCCUGCUACCUGUCGGGUUGCCUAGCAACAGCUGCAGGUGUGUGUGUGUGUGUGUGUGUGUGUGUGUGUGUGUGUGUGUGUGUGUGUGUGUGUGUGUGUGUGUGUGUGUGUGUGUGUGUGUGUGUGUGUGUGUGUGUGUGUGUGUGUGUGUGUGUGUGUGUGUGUGUGUGUGUGUGCCUCCCUGCCAUACAAGUGACUGUAGAUAGACAGCUGAGUGCUGGAACUCGCACAUUAUUACUGCGCUGAAACACCUCCAGACCUCCGCAGGCACACCACACACACACACACACACACACACACACACACACACACACACACACGCUGAUCACUGCAGUGAAGAAAAAUUCUGUUGUGAGGAGGAAUGUAGCGGUAUCUUAACGAGAUACAAGCAUUUCUAUUAAGAUCCAAAAAUACCACAAAACAAGCACAUAGUCUGGGCUGUGGCAGCGCAGCGAGUUUUCACACACACACACACACACACACACACAACACUUGGAAGCUUAUUAAACCCCAACUUAUGUGUUACAAUGCGCAGACCCCCGACAGAGAAACACGUGGAAUUUAAUUAAGACGCGCACGAACACACACGCAGCCUCAAGUGUUGCACAAAGCCCUACGAUUUUCUAUUCAUAAUUAAUUAGUUUUUACUGAUACUUUAUUGUAUUUGGCUCUGUCCGACUGUCCGUCUGUAUUUCUGAUGAGAGCGUGAGUGAGAGAGGGAGAUGGAGGGAGGUUGAACGAGAGCGAUGGACACACAGACACACACACACAGACACACACACACACACACACACACACACACACACACACACACACACACACACACACACAGACACACAGACACACAGACACACACACACACACACACACACUCGUCAGAGAGGAGUCAGGAGGAGGGGAUGGGAGGUGAAUCAGAGAACAAGGACUGAUCAGCCCCCUGGUUCUGU